UUGGGGGCUGAGCACCACGGCUCUGCAAGACGCAGGUCAGAAUCUGACCUCUGGCUGGGCUGGGCAGAGCAGAGGGUUGCUACUUCCUUCUUUCCCCAUCUCCAGUCCUAGACACCUGUAGAUCUCUUUCCUCCCACACAGUUAGAUGUCUGCCUUGCAUGGUACUGGCGAUAGCUCACCAGUUCGGCUAGAGGCCAGACUUUGGACUCCAGUUUACUCGUCAACAUUACUGCACAAACUGCAUCCCAUGUUUAGAAAAACGUCAAAGGAAGGCUUCCGUCCUCACCAGUACCCGGGAAAAGCAGCUCCCUUACAGUGCAGGCAUUGAAGGUAUCCUUGGAAAGCCUCAGCCUUCACCAUUUCACAAAGGUUUCAUUUUACAAAGGUUUAACUGUCUCCGAGGAGGACUCCCACGUCCCCUACUGAGACGUGUCAUGGGGCCCGAAGAAUAAUGCUCCCUUUCUCAGUGAGCCGAGACACACCUGAGACAUGAAUAAACCAGUCCCAAUAAAAUCCUGCUUGGGCUGGUGGCCAGCAGAUGCCUCUGGACCCAUUUUUCAGACACAGAAGACAAGACAGUGACUUGGCUUACACCAGCUAACAGACCUGACGUACUGGAGGGGGAGGAACCUUCCUUCCAGGCCCUCACCUGCUGUCACCAUUUGGACUGGGGCAGAAAGCUGGAGCACACCACCAGGAAAAGGAAGCCACAGAUGGAGCGGGGCAGCUGCAGUAACUGCCGACUUGCUUUGAUGCUGUGCAGGGCCCUAUUGACCCAUGGGCAAGUUAUUGGCACUUUGGUCUCCUAAUCGCUAAAUAAUAGG